UGCGCCUUGCCAGCCGACUCAGAAACUUAAAGGAAGUUGACGGGGGCCCGCACAAGCGGAGGAGCAUGUGGUUUAAUUCGAUGAUACGCGAGGAACCUUACCUGGGCUCGAACGUAAGAUGACUGUAGGUGAAAGCUUACAUCUCUUCGGAGCAUUUUACGAGGUGCUGCAUGGUUGUCGUCAGCUCGUGCCGUGAGGUGUCGGGUUAAGUCCCAUAACGAGCGCAACCCCUACCUUUAGUUGCCAUCAGGUUAAGCUGGGGACUCUAAUGAAACUGCCUACGCAAGUAGUGAGGGAGGUGGGGAUGACGUCAAAUCAGCACGGCCCUUACGUCCAGGGCUACACACGUGCUACAAUGGCCGGUACAAAGGGCAGCUACCUGGUGACAGGAUGCUAAUCUCAAAAGCCGGUCUCAGUUCGGAUUGGAGGCUGCAACUCGCCUCCAUGAAGUCGGAAUCGCUAGUAACCGCAGAUCAGCUACGUUGCGGUGAAUACGUUCCCGGGCCUU
rnacentral:rRNA from 1 species